AUUUUAUUAUAUUUAUUUUUUGUUUAUUUAAUUAUUUAAUAUAAAUAAUUUUAUUGUAUUUUUGUCUUAGUAUAUUUUAUAGAAUUGAUUUUUUAAAUUAUAGUUUAUUGGUAAUGUAAGUGUUUUAUGAAAUAUUAUUUUAAAUUUUUUUAAGUAGAUUUUAUUUAUUGUACCUUUUGUAUCAGGGUUUAUCAAAAUUUUAGUAUUUAUUGUACUUGUCUCGAUUUGGGUUGAUUUAUAAAUAAUUUAUAGUUAAUGUAUCAUAAUUAUUAUUAAAUUAUUUAUAGAAAUGAGAUGUUAAUCGUUUCCCAAGAUAUCUAGUUUCUUAAGAAAAAAUUUAAUUUUUUAAAGUUAUUUGUUUUUAUUUAAUUUUUUAAGUAAAAAUAUUAACUUAUUUAUUCUUUAAGGGAUAAGCUUUGAAGUUAAUAACCUAUAAUUUAUUUUAUAGAAAUAUAAUAGUAAGCUUUAAACCAGCUAUCUUUAAGAUUACGUUUUAGUUCAUUAUUUUUUAUUUUGAUUUUAUAAAUAUUUUAGGUUUUUUAUUAAGAUUCUUAAUUUAAUUUUAAAAUUUUUGUAAUAAUGAUAGAAUUAGUAUAUUUAUUUGUAUGAAAUUUUUACCUUGUGAACUUAUUAUAAGGAACUAGGCAAAAUUGAUUUCCGCCUGUUUAUCAAAAACAUGUCCUCUUGUUUAUAUUUUGAGGUCUGGCCUGCUCACUGAGCGUAUUUUUAAAGAGCCGCGGUAUUUUGACCGUGCAAAGGUAGCAUAAUCAUUAGUCUCUUAAUUAGUGGCUGGAAUGAAUGGCUUGACGAGAAAUCAACUGUCUCUUAAUAAAUUUUUGAAUUUAACUUUUGAGUCAAAAGGCUUAAAUUCUUCUUUAGGACGAGAAGACCCUAUAGAGCUUGACAUUUUACUUUUAUAUAGUUUUUUGUUUGUCUUUCUAUAUUUAAUGAUGAUGUUUUGUUGGGGUGACAUGAAGAAUAGAUAAACUCUUCAUUAUUAUAUCAUUUAUUUAUGUUUGUUAUUUUGAUCCAUAAUUUAUGAUCAUAAGAUUAAGUUACCUUAGGGAUAACAGCGUAAUUGUUUUUGAGAGCUCAUAUCGACAAAGCAGAUUGCGACCUCGAUGUUGGAUUAAGAAAAAUUUUGGGUGCAGGAGCCCAAUGAUUAGGUCUGUUCGACCUUUAAAUUCUUACAUGAUCUGAGUUCAGACCGGCGUGAGCCAGGUCGGUUUCUAUCCUAAGAUUGUUAAUCCAUAUUAGUACGAAAGGACCAUAUGGUUAAAAUAUUUUUUGUUAUAUUGAUUUAUAUUAAUUUAUUUA